rnacentral:rRNA from 1 species
AUGGAGCGGCGGCGCAAGCCUCUUCCGCGCCGGCCGCCGUACUGCGCUCCUUUUACGUCAGGUCGUCCACCAGCCAAGAAGAGGAAGAGAUUGGGCUCCGAGGGAGAGAUUGAACCUUGGGCCGGGGCGGCAGGAGUCGACCGGAUCAGCGCCCUCCCCGACGAACUCCUCGGCGAGAUCAUCUCCCUCCUCCCCAUCAAGGACGGCGCCCGCACCCAGAUCCUCGCGUCCCGGUGGCGCCACCUCUGGCUCUCCGCCCCUCUCAACCUCGACUGCCGUGGCUUCGCCACCGCCACCGAUCUCGCGGUCGUCAGAUACCGCAGGGUCUACAACAACGUCCCCUCUGCUGUAGCGCGCAUUCUUGACCGCCACCAAGGCCCCGGCCGCCGCCUCCGUGUCAAGGGGUACCGUCUCCCCGUCGCCGCCGCCACCGCCCUGAAUUGGUGGAUCGUGGCCCCCGCCCUCGCCGCCGCCGCCGCCGCCGCCCUGGAUUGCUGGCUCGUGGCCCCUGCCCUCGACGGCCUCCAGGUGCUCGAGUGCUGGGUUUCUUCCAAGCAUUCUAAACCGCUUGGGCCGCUGCCGGUGUCCGCCUACCGCUUCUCGCCCACCCUCCGCAUCGCCACCUUUGGUGGCUGCCGCCUCCCCGACGACGACAUCGCCCAAGGGCUUCACUUCCCCAACCUCAAGCACUUGUCACUUGAAUCCGUCUCCACCUCGGAGCACUCUCUGCACAGCCUCAUCGCCGGUUGCCCCGCUCUGGAAUGCUUGAUGAUUCACACAAUCUUCGGCUUCCGUCGCCUUCGGAUCAAUUCCCUCACUCUUACGUUCAUAUGUGUGCAAGAUCAACUUCAGAACUGCAAGGAAUUCAGUCAGCUCCAGUUUGAGGAACUCGUCAUCCAGAAUGCGCCUUGUCUUGAAAAGUUGAUCCCUCUCUACUUUGAGUGUGGUCUGCAGGUGUCGGUAAUCUCCGCGCCUAGACUUCACACCUUGGGCUUCCUUACUGAUUGGGGCGACCAUUCUACCAAACUAGUGUUUGGCUCCACAGUUAUUCAGGGAUUGCGCGCCGAUAGCCUGACAACGGCGGUGCGCACUGUCAAGAUUUUAGCUGUCAAUGUCCAUACUCUUAGUUUGGAUAAUGUUCUUGACAUGAUAAGAUUCUUUCCAUGCCUGGAGGAGCUGCUUGUGAAGUCAUGGAGUUCGGGUGAGAACAAUUUGUGGCAUCGUAAACACCGGGAUCUUCUCACAUGUCUUGACAUCCGUCUCAGGACAGUAGUGUUGGAAACGUAUCUGGGCAGCUGGUCACAGGUUAACUUCGCCAAAUUCUUUGUGCUGAACGCCAGAGUGCUGGAGUCAAUGACGUUUCAUGUUGAGGCCAGCUUGUACGACGAGGAGUUCUUGGCAGAACAGUGUACGAAGCUUCAGCUAGGGAACAAGGCUUCAAGAGAUGCUCAGUUUCAUUUUACAACUGGUACUUCUCUUGAAGGUGUUUGGGAGACCAAGCAUCUCAGUGAUCUUAACUUGGAUGACCCCUUCCUGUGUAGCUGUUGA